rnacentral:rRNA from 1 species
CUUUUCUUGAAUUUAUAUGAAGUAUAACCUGCCCAAUGAAUGGUGUUGAAUGGCCGCGGUAUUUUGACCGUGCAAAGGUAGCAUAAUCAUUAGUCUUUUAAUUGGAGGCUGGAAUGAAUGGUUUGACGAAAUAACAACUGUCUUAUGAUUAUUGUAAUUGAAUUUAAUUAUUAAGUUAAAAAGCUUAAAUUUGUUUUUGGGACGAGAAGACCCUAUAGAGUUUAAAUAAUUAAUUAUAUUGGGUAAUGUUUGUUUAGGUGGUUAUAUAUUUAAUUAUUUGAUUGGGGUGAUUGAAAGAUAAAAUGUAACUCUUUUAUUUUAACUUUACAUUAAUUUGUGUAUUUUUGAUCCAUUUAUGUUGAUUAUAAGAUUAAAUUACC